rnacentral:rRNA from 1 species
CAGUCGCCGCGGGAACACGGAGGGAGCUAGCGUUGUUCGGAAUUACUGGGCGUAAAGCGCGCGUAGGCGGUUACUCAAGUCAGAGGUGAAAGCCCGGGGCUCAACCCCGGAACUGCCUUUGAAACUAGGUGACUAGAAUCUUGGAGAGGUCAGUGGAAUUCCGAGUGUAGAGGUGAAAUUCGUAGAUAUUCGGAAGAACACCAGUGGCGAAGGCGACUGACUGGACAAGUAUUGACGCUGAGGUGCGAAAGCGUGGGGAGCAAACAGGAUUAGAUACCCGAGUAGUCCCUGUCUCUUAUAC